CGGAGCCAGUAGGAUGAGGUGCCGAUGCAGAAAUCUCUCGUGACGCCACCAAAGAGACAAGAAUGCAGCGCCUGCAGCAAACCGGGCUACAUCGCCAUCGCAUGCCAACGCGUGUGCUGAGGAAAUGGAAUUUAAGGAGACUGCACCAGCUAAGCACACUGGAAAAUGAG